rnacentral:rRNA from 1 species
GAUGAACGCUGGCGGCGUGCCUAAUACAUGCAAGUCGAGCGAACGGACGAGAAGCUUGCUUCUCUGAUGUUAGCGGCGGACGGGUGAGUAACACGUGGAUAACCUACCUAUAAGACUGGGAUAACUUCGGGAAACCGGAGAUAAUACCGGAUAAUAUUUUGAACCGCAUGGUUCAAAAGUGAAAGACGGUCUUGAUGUCACUUAUAGAUGGAUCCGCGCUGCAUUAGCUAGUUGGUAAGGUAACGGCUUACCAAGGCAACGAUGCAUAGCCGACCUGAGAGGGUGAUCGGCCACACUGGAACUGAGACACGGUCCAGACUCCUACGGGAGGCAGCAGUAGGGAAUCUUCCGCAAUGGGCGAAAGCCUGACGGAGCAACGCCGCGUGAGUGAUGAAGGUCUUCGGAUCGUAAAGCUCUUUUAGUAGGGAAGAACAUAUGUGUAAGUAACUGUGCACAUCUUGACGGUACCUAAUCAGAAAGCCCCGGCUAACUACGUG